AGUGAACGCUGGCGGUAGGCCUAACACAUGCAAGUCGAACGGCAGCACAGUAAGAGCUUGCUCUUACGGGUGGCGAGUGGCGGACGGGUGAGGAAUACAUCGGAAUCUACUUUUUCGUGGGGGAUAACGUAGGGAAACUUACGCUAAUACCGCAUACGACCUACGGGUGAAAGCAGGGGAUCUUCGGACCUUGCGCGAUUGAAUGAGCCGAUGUCUGAUUAGCUAGUUGGCGGGGUAAAGGCCCACCAAGGCGACGAUCCUUAGCUGGUCUGAGAGGAUGAUCAGGCAAAAUGGAAAUGGGACAAGGUCCAAAAUCCUAAGGGAGGGAGGAGUGGGGAAAAAUGGAAAAAGGGGGGAAGGCUGAACCAAGCAAAACGGGGGGGGGAAGAAGGGCUUCGGGGUGGAAAGCCCUUUUGUUGGGAAAGAAAAGCAGCAGGUUAAUACCCCGCUGUUCUGACGGUACCAAAAGAAUAAGCACCGGCUAACUUCGUG
rnacentral:rRNA from 1 species